AUACAAGCGUCGGUGCGUCAGUGUUGCUGGACCCAUCACUACUGAGAGGACAGCAAACAAAGCACAAUCCACUUUCCACUGUGAGGAAGACUUUCAGCUAGACGGGCUAUCGAAGUGACAAGGAGAGUGAUGGAGUGCUGUGCCAGAUUCCCAAUCACAAUCCCAUGACCUAAACCCAUUCGAGAUGGUUUGGGAUGAGAUGGAGCACAGAGUGAAGACAAAACGGCCAACAAGUGCUCAGCAUCUUUGGGAAUUCCUUCAAGACUGUUGGAAAACCAUUUCAGCACAGGUCACUUGAGGCAAACAAAGAAGAAAAAUACUGAAAUUAAUAUUUCAGCUGGAACCAUUAUCGAAACUAUGUUACCUGCUCCAGCUUAUCACACAUUUGAUUUCCAUGUGUGACAACUGCAAG